rnacentral:rRNA from 1 species
AGUGAACGCUGGCGGUAGGCCUAACACAUGCAAGUCGAACGGCAACACAGUAAGAGCUUGCUCUUACGGGUGGCGAGUGGCGGGCGGGUGAGGAAUACGUCGGACUCUACUUUUUCGUGGGGGAUAUCGUAGGGACAGUUACGCUAAUACCGCAUCCGACCUACGGGUGAAAGCAGGGGAUCUUCGGCCCUUGCGCGAUUGAAUGAGCCGAUGUCGGAUUCGCUAGUUGGCGGGGUAAAGGCCCACCAAGGCGACGAUCCGUAGCUGGUCUGAGAGGAUGAUCAGCCACACUGGAACUGAGAAACGGUCCAGACUCCUACGGGAGGCAGCAGUGGGGAAUAUUGGACAAUGGGCGCAAGCCUGAUCCAGCCAUACCGCGUGGGUGAAGAAGGCCUUCGGGUUGUAAAGCCCUUUUGUUGGGAAAGAAAAGCAGCAGGUUAAUACCCCGCUGUUCUGACGGUACCCAAAGAAUAAGCACCGGCUAACUUCGUG